rnacentral:sRNA from 1 species
CUUCUGUGCAUCCUCGCGACUAAUGACAACCCUAACCCAAACCGGGUAAAGCCUCUCAUUAGCCGCGCGAACCUCUGCAACGAAGAUCAUUCAUAGCAACAAUACAAUAGUUUAGGGUGAAUUGCUGCCGUCUGGUUGAAAAAAGGGGCCGUUAAGGCCCCUUUCU